rnacentral:rRNA from 1 species
AGUGGGGAAUAUUGGACAAUGGGCGCAAGCCUGAUCCAGCCAUACCGCGUGGGUGAAGAAGGCCUUCGGGUUGUAAAGCCCUUUUGUUGGGAAAGAAAAGCAAUCGGUUAAUACCCGGUUGUUCUGACGGUACCCAAAGAAUAAGCACCGGCUAACUUCGUGCCAGCAGCCGCGGUAAUACGAAGGGUGCAAGCGUUACUCGGAAUUACUGGGCGUAAAGCGUGCGUAGGUGGUUGUUUAAGUCUGUCGUGAAAGCCCUGGGCUCAACCUGGGAAUUGCGAUGGAAACUGGGCGACUAGAGUGUGGCAGAGGGUAGUGGAAUUCCUGGUGUAGCAGUGAAAUGCGUAGAGAUCAGGAGGAACAUCCGUGGCGAAGGCGACUGCCUGGGCCAACACUGACACUGAGGCACGAAAGCGUGGGGAGCAAA